UAUGGCCAUAUCACAUUGAAACACUGGUUCUCAUAUGAUUACUGAAGUUAAGCCAUGUCAAGCUUGGUCAGUACCUAGAUAAGUGACUGCUUUGGAAUACCAGGUGCUGUAA